UUUUUUUUUUCAAUUUUCUUGUAUAACUUUCUUAUAUAGAUACACCUAAGUGAACACUAAAUAAAUAUUGAAAAAAAAUUAUCACAUUUUACCAAGAGGUUAAAUGUUAUAUGCUUUAGUCGUGUAAGGUCGGUCUGAACAAAGUAGAAUAAAAUAUAUAUACAAAACAGAAAAAAAAUCGUACCCUCACGAUUGUAGCAUGGUAGUCUUUAAGGGUUUUAACAACAAUGAAAUGCAUAUUACACUUUACUACAUUUUCUUCCCCUUAGCUCCUGCAUUUUGAUGAGGUUGGGAGAAGAUAUUUAAAGGUGUUUAAAAGUCAAAAACCACUAGCUCAAUUCCACAA